rnacentral:rRNA from 1 species
GACAGAGGGUGCAAACGUUGUUCGGAUUUACUGGGCGUAAAGCGCGUGUAGGCGGCUUGGCAAGUCGGAUGUGAAAGCCCACGGCUCAACCGUGGAAGCGCAUCCGAAACGGCCUCGCUCGAGUCUCGGAGAGGAGGGUGGAAUGCUUGGUGUAGAGGUGAAAUUCGUAGAUAUCAAGCAGAACACCUGCGGCGAAGGCGGCCUUCUGGACGAUGACUGACGCUGAGACGCGAAAGCGUGGGGAGCAAACAGG